rnacentral:rRNA from 1 species
GAUGAACGCUGGCGGCGUGCUUAACACAUGCGAGUCGAACGGAAAGGCCAGUGCUUGCACUGGUACUCGAGUGGCGAACGGGUGAGUAACACGUGGGUGAUCUGCCCUGCACUUCGGGAUAAGCCUGGGAAACUGGGUCUAAUACCGGAUAGGACACGGGCUUGGAUGCCGUUGUGGAGAGUUUCUUCGGUGUGGGAUGAGCUCGCGGCCUAUCAGCUUGUUGGUGGGGAAGUGGCCUACCAAGGCGUCGACGGGUAGCCGGCCCGAGAGGGCGUAGGCACGCACUGGGCCUCAGAGACAGGCCACAGUCCUGCAUGUGGGAGAAGUGGCGCAUGUCUCACACUGCGCGACAGCCUGAGUGAGGGACGCCGCGUGGUGGAUGAGGGCUUUCGGGUUGUAAGCACCUCACGCGAGUGACGAAGCGCAUUUGUGACGGUACCUGGAGAAGAAGCACCGGCUAACUACGUG